UACGUAGGUGGCAAGCGUUGUCCGGAAUUAUUGGGCGUAAAGCGCGCGCAGGCGGCCUUUUAAGUCUGAUGUGAAAGCCCACGGCUCAACCGUGGAAGGUCAUUGGAAACUGAAAGGCUUGAGUACAGAAGGGGAAAGCGGAAUUCCACGUGUAGCGGUGAAAUGCGUAGAGAUGUGGAGGAACACCAGUGACGAAGGCGGCUUUCUGGUCUGUAACUGACGCUGAGGCGCGAAAGCGUGGGGAGCAAACAGG
rnacentral:rRNA from 1 species